rnacentral:rRNA from 1 species
GACGAACGCUGGCGGCGUGCUUAACACAUGCAAGUCGAACGGAAAGGCCCUGCUUUUGUGGGGUGCUCGAGUGGCGAACGGGUGAGUAACACGUGAGUAACCUGCCCUUGACUUUGGUAUAACUUCAGGAAACUGGGGCUACUACCGGAUAGGAGCUCCUGCUGCAUGGUGGGGGUUGGAAAGUUUCGGCGGUUGGGGAUGGACUCGCGGCUUAUCAGCUUGUUGGUGGGGUAGUGGCUUACCAAGGCUUUGACGGGUAGCCGGCCUGAUAGGGUGACCGGCCACAGUGGGACUGAGAGACGGCCCAGACGGCUAAGGGAGGCAGGAGUGGGGAAUAGUGCACAAUGGGCGGAAGCGUGAUGCAGCAACGCCGCGUGCGGGAUGACGGCCUUCGGGUUGGAAACCGCUUUCGCCUGUGACGAGGCGUGAGUGACGGUAAUGGGGAAAGAAGCACCGGCUAACUACGU